rnacentral:rRNA from 1 species
GACGAACGCUGGCGGCGUGCUUAAUACAUGCAAGUCGAACGGAAAGGCCCUGCUCGCAGGGUACUCGCGUGGCGAACGGGCGAGUAACACAUGGGUGAUCUGCCUUGCACUUCGGGAUAAGCCUGUGCAACUGGGUCUGAUACCGGAUAGGAGCUAUAUUUAGCGUGAUGGUUGGAAAGUUUUUUCGGUGUAGGAUGAGCUGGCGGCCUAUCUGCUUGCUGGGGGGGUUAUGGCCUACCAAGGCGGCGACGGGUAGCCGCCCUGUGAGGGUGGACGGCCACAUAGGGACCUAGGUGCGGCCCAGACAGGGACGGGAGGCAGCAGUGGGGAAGAUUGCACAAUGGACGCCAGCCUGAUGCAGCGGCGCCGCGUAGGGGAUGACGGCCUUCGGGUGGAAGACUCCUUUCGCAAGGGACGAAGCUUUUUGUGACGGUACCUAGAUAAGAAGCACCGGCUAACUACGUG